AACGAACGCUGGCGGCAUGCCUAACACAUGCAAGUCGAACGAGACCUUCGGGUCUAGUGGCGCCGGGUGCGUAACGCGUGGGAACCUGCCCUUAGGUUCGGAAUAACUCCCCGAAAGGGGUGCUAAUACCGGAUAAUGUCUUCGGACCAAAGAUUUAUCGCCUUUGGAUGGGCCCGCGUUGGAUUAGCUAGUUGGUAGGGUAAAAGCCUACCAAGGCGACGAUCCAUAGCUGGUCUGAGAGGAUGAUCAGCCACACUGGGACUGAGACACGGCCCAGACUCCUACGGGAGGCAGCAGUGGGGAAUAUUGGACAAUGGGCGAAAGCCUGAUCCAGCAAUGCCGCGUGAGUGAUGAAGGCCUUAGGGUUGUAAAGCUCUUUUACCCGGGAUGAUAAUGACAGUACCGGGAGAAUAAGCUCCGGCUAACUCCGUG
rnacentral:rRNA from 1 species